rnacentral:rRNA from 1 species
AACGAACGCUGGCGGCAGGCUUAACACAUGCAAGUCGAGCGCCCCGCAAGGGGAGCGGCAGACGGGUGAGUAACGCGUGGGGAUCUACCCAUCUCUACGGAAUAACGCAUGGAAACGUGUGCUAAUACUGUAUACGUCCUUCGGGAGAAAGAUUUAUCGGAGAUGGAUGAGCCCGCGUUGGAUUAGCUAGUUGGUGGGGUAAAGGCCUACCAAGGCGACGAUCCAUAGCUGGUCUGAGAGGAUGAUCAGCCACACUGGGACUGAGACACGGCCCAGACUCCUACGGGAGGCAGCAGUGGGGAAUAUUGGACAAUGGGCGCAAGCCUGAUCCAGCCAUGCCGCGUGAGUGAUGAAGGCCCUAGGGUUGUAAAGCUCUUUCACCGGUGAAGAUAAUGACGGUAACCGGAGAAGAAGCCCCGGCUAACUUCGUGCCAGCCGCCGCCGUAAUAC